AUCCCAGAUGAGCUGAAAUUUGUGCUUAUCUGAUUCAUGGGAAGCCUAGAUUAAUCAUAUGGAAGUUUCGCUGAUGACGCCAUUUUUUAUUUAUUUUGCUAAGAGGGCGUUUAAUAGUAGCUUUCCCAUACAUGA